UCCCCGGUAGCUCAGUUGGUAGAGCGCGUGGCUGUUAACCACUAGGUCGUAGGUUCGAGUCCUACCCGGGGAGCCA
rnacentral:tRNA from 1 species